CCCUUCUGUGUUUGGGUGUUUCAAUUCAUUCGCAACUGUCGCGCUGUACGGACGUAAAAUACGAACGCGGAAACGGAUACGCGGACCAAUACAUACAGAAUACAAAAUUUUUUCUUUCUUUCAAAAGAAAGAAAAUACUUUAGAAAUACCUUUCUUUCGGGACGGACGAAACAACAAACCGCAAACAUAUUUCAAUUAGAAAAACCAAUAAGUUUUUCAUAAAAGAAAAGUGAAUUUAUAUUUUGAAUGCGCAUUUAUAUGAGAAGUGUGUGAUGAUUCAGUGAAAAGUAGACUUUGCAAAGUGCAGAAUAGGAGUGAAAAAAAGUAGAAGUGGCUGCAGUGGUAGAAGUUGCAAAAGAAGAAGCAAAAAAUCGAAUUGUGGCGAAACGAAACGAGUGUAGUGUUAAAGCAGCAGAUAAAACAUAUGUAAAAGUUAAAACGUAAACCAGUUUUAUGAAAACGGACUGUUUUUCAAGCCAAGCUCAACUAAACAAUUUAGUAAAAACAAUAACAAUCAAUUGAACCAACCGGCCGACCAACUCCACUUGAUGCGACACCAUCAUUCAUUUCAAAUGUUGUAUGACUCAUAUCUCAUCAAGCAAAUCAUCAUUCUGGAGGAAUAAAACAGGUUCUUCGACUGUUUUCUAUUCAAUGCCAAUGGAAAAUUACGCUACCAAAUAAAUAAAAUGUUAAUUAUACAUUAAUAGCGGCAACAACACAAAAACUAAGAAAAAACGCAGGCGCAAACAACUGCAACUACAAAUAGCAUUAAGAGAGCACGAACAAUGCACAUGCACACAAACACACGAGUACACAGCAACAAAAUUGCCGCUUGAAGAAAUAAACAACAACGCGAGUGGCGGCUGAGACUGCAACGCGGCAGAGGCAAUAAAUCAGUGACAACAACGGCAAAAUGUUGACUGCAGUUUAUCAACAACAACAGCAGCAACAACAACAAGUGCAGAUAACUACUUACAACAACUUUAUAGAAACUAAAGCACAAGACGAACAUAAACGACGUCUCGCCACACGGCUGCUGCCAGAGCGACGCUAAGCAACGAGCAACGAGCACCGGCACCGGCAAACAAAGUGAACCUAUUACAAAAGUGUAAACAAAAAUACGAGCCGCAACAGCAAAAACAACAGCUAAGGUAAUAUACACGAAUCAGCGCUUUGACAGCAGCAGCAACAACAACAACACACGUUGCUUAUAUGCAUCCACAACCUAGAGUUAUUGUUGCUAUUGUAAACUGCGGAUUUUUUUUUUAUUUUUCUAUGCAACAACAGCGCAUUGCAAUUGCAGCGCUGCAUAGUAAGCGUACAAGCGUGAGCGUAAGCUGGAAGCAACCGAAUACCUGGCGCUGCUUAAUUGUUGCACGGCUUGGUGAACACUUUGUAGUGCAGCAACAGCAAGCAACAUCGUCAACACAGACCCGCUGAGGUCUUUACACAAGUGACAGCUGCAAUAACUUAAGCAUUAGCAGCAAAGCAACAACAACAACGAAGUAUACAUAUAUAAAUACAAUAGAUUUUUGUAAAAUAGUCAACGGCAGUGGCAGCUCACACAAUUAAAUUGCGCGGCGGUAAAACUAAUUGAACACUGUUGAACAGGUACAACAGAAGCAACAACAACAACUGCAAGAACGGCAGUGAUCACUAACUAACAACGCGCCACACCGUUGUCGUUACAAGUGGGCAGCGAUCCAUUUUGAUUGGCCGACGCCGCGCUGAUUGAGUGUCACAAAUAGCAGAAGAACGCAGCGCAAAGCAAAAGGCAAAAAGUUGCGUUCAUCCGCAUAGCAAAAGCAACAACGCAGUGCGCGCCUGUUGUCAACUAUAAUUGCAAAGCCAAGAAUUCGCGCGUUUAUUGCUUGUGUUGCCAUGCGAAGUUGCAACGACGCACAGCGAAAUAGUUGAAAUAGAAUAGCAUUACGAAGUGUAAGUGCACACACACACACACUCACAUACAUAUAAGCAGUUGUACAUAUAUGCAUUUUUACUUACAUAAGCGACUAUAUAGUAUAUGUAUUUAUAUACACAGCCGAUCUCGUUGUUGCAUUUAGUUUAAUGUUGCCGCAAUUGGAGCCGAGCACAGUAGCUUCGUAUUUUUUUUAGCUGUUUUUGACUUCCUUCAUUCGUUAUUUUCGCUUUAAGAGGACGCUUAAACACAAGCAAAAGAAUAUUUGCUACAAACUGCAGUUGCGGCGACAAAGCAUUGGCGGACAAUAAUCCACACAGUACCAACGGAAUUCACGAAACGCUGCACAACAACAACAACAAGAAUAGUAGCGCAUAAAAAGUUGCAAUUUAAACGCAACAGACAGACAGCAUUUUUCAUAGCUACCGGCGGCCAGCAACGCCUGCGAAUAAAAAGCACUUCAUUUGGCAUAGCAAACGGGUGUUUUUUGCUUUUGUUGUUGUUUGUACGCUUAUUUGUUGCCGCUAGAUUGCAUGCAAAAAGCAAAAGAAACUGCACGGUAAAAGAACAAACGCACGCCGAGUGGCGACAAACUGAAAGGAACUCGCCGAGCGUGACUGCAAAGUGUGCAGGCAUUAAAGCAAAACGGCGGAUCAGCUUGCCAGCAUCAAAAAAACUGCGAAAAAAGCAUAACAACAAUAGCGUACGUUGGCAACAAUAGCAUGCGCUAACGGUACAGCAGCCAUUUGCCUAAUGAAGCAUUAGAUAGAGCAACAACUGGCAAUUUAAAGCAAAAACAGCAACAAAACACAGACAGCGUUUGUAAGCGCAGCAUAAAGAAAUCACAUCAACAACAACGGCAAACAUGAACAGUGCAACGCAUUCACCAACAGCCGCUACGCCAUCGGCGGCGCAACGUGGCAGCGUGACAGCCAAUGGCCUUGAGUUAACCACAACACCGCCAGUAGCGCCGGCGCGGCACACGCGCCCCUUGCCCGCACAACGCGCGGCCGGCAGCGGUUGUGUCAGCGGCAAUGGUAGCAGCAACUCAUCCACGACCACCUCUUCGCCACCGCAAUAUAGUGAGGAUUUGCGGCGCGCCAAUAUGCCCACCACAUUGGAUUUACUGCCACGUCAAGGUAGCGUCUCCUCGACCAAGACCUGUGAAGUCGAUUUGGGCGAUGAAGAGCGUGACACUUUUUCGCCGGUAAGCACCGCCACCAGCAGCAGUGCGGACGAAUGCGCCGACGGCAGCAGUCCCAGUGAUACGGCCAUGCUUGCUGCCGGUGGUGGUGCUGAUAAUGUUGGCAGCACCAGCGCGCGUGCAAACAAUAGCGGCAGCAGCGCCUAUGAUAAUAAAGUGUACGAUGCUGUACAUUUGCCGACAGUAGCACCAACGCCAGCGGCGCGCAUGAAGGUGUCCAAUGGCAGUGGUGUUGGUGGGGGUGGUAGUGUUGCUGCUACAACUGGUGGCGGUAUUCAUUCCACUUCGAAGGAGGAGAAGCAGCGACAGAAUGAGGAGAUUGUUAUUAUGGAAACGUCGUCAAUUUCUUCAGAAACUGGCUCAUGGGAAUCGGUGUUUCCGCACGCCAACAGUAUUGCAGCAGGCAGCGUGGUGUCAACGGCCGCAGCGAGCGUACCUACUGCUGUUCUUAGCACCAUAGCUGCUGGCAAAGUGGCUGAGGUAAAUUAUCCAGCUUUUAGUACAGAAUUUUCUCAUGGUGAAAAUAAACUGCCGAAAGCAUCCUUCGAGCUGCCGCGGGAGCGCGAUAAAUGCGGCGCAGCAGAGCCGCAAGUUAAUUUACUUAAAGAGCCUGAUAUCGCGCCCUACCUGCGGGAGCGCACCUACUCGACAGGGGCGUCAGUAACUGCAGAUACCAGCUCGUUAUUCACUGGCAUCAGUGCACAUUCGCUGUUGCGUGAUCUGGAGAGGCGUGAGAACCCCAUGAAUUCUUCCGGGCAUAGCGCCUGCUUCAUUGACGCUUCUUCGCUGCGUGAUGAAGAUGAAGUGCUAUCCUUUCCAAGUCUGGAUGGACAGCAGUCGAAUGAGGAUGCUAAGGAUAUUGAAGAGCAUGUGGAAGAGCAGCCAACGAAAGUGACUGGAGGAGAAGAUGAAGAUUCACCUACUAAGAAACUUGAAUCAUUCCAUAAAGCAUUUGCCAAGUGCAAAGUGAAAUCUAAAGACUUGCCUGAAACUGCUGAAACAUUUGAUACAUCAAAGUCAAGUUCCAGUUCAAAUUCUGGUGCAGAUUCGCCGCAGAAACAAAUUUCGGUUGCCUCUGCCACAUCCACAAAUAAUCUCUCGGACGAGGAAAAACUUUGGAAACGUGAACACGAAAAUCAAAAAGCGCCACUGACUACCGAAGACAAGGACCCGGUUGGUAAGGCUCAACAAAUUGCUACCCAGCAGCAUAUCUCCACGCAAGAGGAUGCCACAGAGGCAUCAGUUUCAUUAGUCGCUGAUGCCGAUUCCUCGGACUCUUCGGAAAUCGUUAAGUUGCGCCGUGAACAAGAACAUAAACCACGACCGUAUAUUUUUCAGCACAAUAUGCAACAAUUUAGUAUUCAUCCUUUGGCGGUGAGUCCUAAAUUUUCGGUGCACAGCUCGACAGGUACCAGCAUUUCACAUCCAACUACAGUACAUGCAGCACACAAUGAUCUCAGCUACACAACCGACUACUCUUCAUCCAGUCCUGCGCCGAGCUUAGUUUGGUCCGAACACGAGCACCGUCCUAGUCUAAGCGGUCGUCCACAUGUCGAUGACUAUGACGGGCACACACAUAAGGCAUUUACUCAACCGGACACACCGCAUAACUCAAUAGCACACAUAGAGAAUGCCUCAAGCAAUAACUCUUCCAUACAUCGCGACUAUACAAUGUCUUCUUCAUUAUCGCACCAACGCGAUUCCGGCGCAUAUUGCAGCGAUGCCACAGACUCGCCAGUACCAAUGCCGCGCACGCCAAAACGUUCCAAGUUCGAUGAAGCAAAUCCCAUUAUAUCCGGUGGCGCUUCAAUCAAAGAUUUUGCGCCUAAGCAAUGCGAAAGCCCACCAGUGCAUCGGCGUUUGGAGUCGUGCCCCAUCGUCUCGGGUGGAUUUGCCUCGUUGGAUUUUGAACCAACACGUCCGCUGGGCGAUGAUGAUGAGGAUCAGGUAGAGUUGCGUUCACGUCCUAAGACACGUAAGCCUAUACCUGGUAUUGCAUCGUGGGUUGUGGAUAUGAGUGACUGUCGUACGGAGCGUCGUAAAAGCACCAGCUCAACUUCGAGCAUGGAAGCAUCUGCAAGUAAAUUUCGGGAACGUUCCGAUUCGACAAGUUCACAUAAGAGCGGUUGCGGCUUUUAUGUUUCCUUAGAUAAUAUGGAUGAUAAGCCCAAUAACGAUGAUCUCAAUAAAAAACCAAUGAAGCCACAGAUGAGUAAAUCAUACACGGCACCGAAACCGGCCGGCUUCUUUGUAAAUCUCUCGAAGAGUGAAUAUACAACGGCCGAUGAAGUAAAACCUGAAGAGCCAAAGUCAGAGGAAACAACGGCUGCAGAUAAGAAAAAUAUCUUUAGUAUGUUUAUAGAUAUAGGUGAGAGCAAGAAGCCUACUGGCACGCCAAGAAAGGAACCAUUUAGUUUAGCGCAACGUUUAUCUAGUUCGUACGCUUCGCACGCUGCUCAACGACGCGGCGAUGAUGUGAUGCGCUCCAGCGCAAGCUCGACGGAAACAUUAAUGGCAAAAAGCAGCAGUCUAAAGAUGAGUGCAGACAAUGAAUUAAGUGGGGAGAGUAAAUCGCUUGAUUAUAAGUGCAACCUUGAACCACCCAUCACAGUGGCGGCAAUACGUCGCCUAUCGCAGCAGCAACGCGCUCAAAACGACGCAACAAAGCGACAUUCGUGGGGAACUAAUGCAACAAAAGAAGGCGUUACGUGCGACUACAAACGCUCCAUUAGCCUAACAGCAAAUGGCGAUUCAAAAGAGAAUGGUGGUAAUGGAUUAAUGAGUAUCAUUGAUAAAAUACCGUUAAUAUCGAAAGCGUCCUCCUUGUCGGUGGACAGCUCGUUGUCGCCUUUCGACGAAUACACCGGUUCCAAGUCUGAAUUGAGCACAUGUUCAAACAAUUCGGCAAGAAACUCUGUGUCGGGUGGUGAGCGUGACGAUGAAGUUUUCCUCGCCGGUACUGGUGCCGCUAACGGUGGACGCGUCAAGAGACGACGUCGUGAUGUACAAAUCAACGAAACAUUUGACAAAAGUAGUUUGGCUUCCAUAACAGACGGUGUACUUUCUAAAGAUUUGUCGCCAGCAUCCACGACUGAUACCGAAGACUUGACUUUCCAGCAGGAUGAGGAACUGGCAAUGCGUGAGGCGGCACUGCAACAGCAGCAGCAGCUACAACAACAGGUGCCCUCAAAUCGCUCAUCGGCUAUUAUUAUGGAAACCAUAAUUGAGGCCAAAGAAACAUCCUCGCCUAAGAAAAAUGCCUCCGGUCACACCAUGGAGACUCUACAUGCAACCAUAGAGAAGCAAAAAAUGUUGCUCGAAACGGUGAAUGAGCAUGGCGAAGUUGAGAAGGGUACAUUUGUGAAACUGUCGGAUAUGGAUAAACCCGCAAAGUUCGAACUACAUUCGCCCGAAUCCAUGAGUAAGAGUGUGGGCAAUCAUCGUCAAAUCAAUCGGCUAUUUCGUGACGAUUCGAAAACGCGCCCUCACUCAUGGACCAUGACACGUUCUCAAGGCAAUAGUUUCCUCAGCAUAACUAAUUCGGUGGAGAACUUGCGCAGCUUGUCGCGUCUUUUCCCGAAUUUUUCGAAAGAGUUCUCCAACUCUUUGCCGAACGACAUUAUCUGUGAUCAAAUGGACUAUAUACAAACGGAUAUCAGCGGUGAUUCUAGUAUGGCUUCAAGUAUCAGUCGUUCCGGCAUGGAUGAGUCUUCCAUAUCGUGCCGUCAACCACGCCGAUUGGGUGAGGAUUUGUUGAAAAUGUUCCUGCAAGAGAUUGCCACAGACAUGAUCGUCGAAGUGCAUGGCCGCCGCAUAAAGGCGCACAAAUGCAUUCUACGCUCGCGCUGUCAGUAUUUUGCUGCUAUGUUGGCGGGUAGUGGUGCACAGAGUGUGGUCUCCCUGCAGGGUUACUCCUACUCGGCAGUACAUUUUGCAUUGUGUCACAUUUAUUCCGGCGCUUCGCAUCCACCCGAUGGUAUUAGUUUGAUGGAGUUGGCUGCUUUAGCUGAUCUGCUUGGCUUAGAGGGACUGAAGGAAGUCACUGCGCACGCCUUGAAGACGAACUAUUGUCACAAUUUUCACAAACCCUGCUCGGGUUGUAUCGAUGGCAUACUGCAGGUCCUGCCUGUGGCAUUGACUCACUCGUUAGAUGAUUUGUAUCGCAAAUGUUUGCGCUGGACUUGUCGCCACUACAUGAAAGUAUGGCCCACACGUCAAUUUGCUCAGCUGCCAGCAGACAUAUUGGGACGAUGCCGGCAGCAAAUUGUUGCUUACAUGACAUCGGAGAGCGUAUUGGACACAGUGCUCGAUUGUGAUAACUUGCUGACACAGUUGGCGACCUACCGCUGGGGUGGCAUUUGUGAGAGUCUUGUACGUGAUAUAUUAGACGCCGCCUAUACAUACAUUGCCGAUCACUUUGCCAGCCUGAUAGCGAGUGACUCCUUCCUAUCGCUCGGUCACGAUCGUAGCUGUCACAUACCGCGACUCGAGAGCGUACUAUUGCGCACAGCAUCGUCGCUCACACCGGAUCAGGCAUGUCGCAGUUAUCAGCGUGUGACACGCCUCAACACUGUGUUGCAGGCGAAAGUCAUACAAAUGCCGGCAAAUCUUGGUGAAUUGGCUAAGGAAUUGCAGGGCUUGCAAGAGGAAGACUUGGAUUGGGAUGCUGAAUACAUACGUUUGGUCAGCGCCAUACUGUCCGCAGUGGAGCAGUGUCUCAUACGACAGUGUUCGCGCGCUAUGCGUGUAACUGCUUGGCAACGUAUGGAUCUGGAUUUGCGUAAGAAGAUACAGACAUUGGCACGUCUCACCGAACCGAUGGAUCUGAAGCGCAGCAAGCCAGUGUCGAAAGCGUUCACAUUUAGUGGUAGCACACGCAACCAGGACCUGUAUCAGGUGAAGUUGGCAAUACAAGCGCAUUCAAAGCGCGCCAUGGCACAGGAUACACAACUCUAUAAGGCAACGCAGACUCAAGAGGCGGGAAAUGUGCAGACCACCGAGCGCGGUGUGCAGGCCAACAACGAUAUACGUGAAGGCACAAGUAAAAUUCUGAAAUCGAAUACCCGUGUCCAUGUGCCUCAAGCGCUGCGUGCUAGCUCACAGAGCGCUACAACUUCCGAACGCAACAGUUUAAACACACAUCGUCGCACACAAUCCGAAGCGCCAAUGCAUAUAAAUAAAGUCACCACAGCCGCACCAGCGUUGCCACCAAAACCUACCAGCGCCGAAGUGAAGAGCGACACCAGCAAGAAAAUAGCAGCACGUCUGUCUGAGGUGCGACCACGCUACCUAGAGCCACGCAAAGUGCAUGCGCCAGCAGGUUUUGGUAAUGGCCCUGUGCGUAGCGCCACAAGUUCUAGUAUACCGGCCACCACCAAAGGUAAAGGCCGUCAGAUCUCAUCUAGCGAUAGUUCGCGCACUUCCAGUCCAGCCACGCGUAAAACCGCCAACCAAAUCGGACGUAAAUCCAUUAAUAUGUCGCUGGACAGCUUGGCGUCGCCAUCGCGGCGUGGUCGCACCAUGCGUAUGAAGGCCACCGACAAUGCCGACCGUUUUUCGGAUCGUGGCGGUGAUUCGCUCGGCGAUAGCAUGAAAAGUUCGGUGAUGACAAAUAAAGCGAUAUCACAGGAAUCACUUUCGAGCAUAACCAAGCUGUCGCGUUCGAAUCCGCUCAUUGGCAACAGCGUCAAACAGUCGGCAGCUGUCGGUAGUAAGUCGCAAAACAGCAAGUUGACUAAUGGUAUUGUUAAGACGAAUCGCGCUGCAAGCAUCGGCACCAAACCGCCGAAGCAUUUGCAGCAACAAAAUAUAAAAUCAACCGGUUCGAGCCCCUCUUCGGUGACAACAACCAAGUCAGCCGCCAGCCGUCUCUCAUCCGUUUCAUCUACACACUCAUCACGCGAUAUGUUCAAAAAUCGUUCGAUAUCGAUGCCGGGUCAACCAGCGUCGCAAAGCACUGCUGGUGGUCAACAGACAUCUGGAGGUGGCCCGCGCCAUAGUUUCUUAUCGGCCAAAUCACGUGAGAUACUUGCCAAACGCGCGGAGAAAAACAAAUUACAGCAGCAACAACAACAACUACAACAAACCGCCAAUAGCUCCGGCGAUGAACGGAGCAAUACGAACGCCGUCCCUGCACCCACCAAUAACCAACAACAACAAAAGCAACAUCAUCCGCACACCGGUCCAAUACGUUCCGCCUCACACACAGCCGUCACAGCGACGUCAAAUGCCAAUUAUACGCGCAAUUCGCUACCAUCGAAUAUACCAACACGUCGCCCCAACUCGCUGCAACUAAAGAAAACAACAAAUAAUCAUCUUGUUAGCAAUAAAAAUAAUAAUACUGUCAAUCAAAUGGCACAUUUGAAUAAUAAAAACAAAAUCAUUAACGCCACCAAUGGUGUGUUGAAGGCAGCGCAUGCGGUCAAGCAGAAAAUCGAAUUGUUCAUCGAUACGUCCACGUCAGCGGCUGGUCGCGGUGACAAGACAACACCGCCACCAACGCAACCGACUCAGAAAAGCAACGACCAACAACAGAAACCGACACGUGUCGAAACGAAAUUGGAGCGUUCGAGUACGUUUUGCAAGGAGUCCUCCGAUAUGGAUAUCAAUGAGUUGCAGAUUAUUGAGUAGAGAGAGGAAGCUUAAUGCGACUUGGCGAAAGCUCAACCGCAAAUGAGGUGUGUUUACUACCAUACGAGCAAGAGGAUGAAUCUGCAAUAUUACCAAUCUGGAGGCUGACAACGCAAGGAACAGCUCUACGAACGCUUUGGUUAAAAGAACGACUCUAGUCAAUAAUGAUGGGAAAAUUGCUAGCUAUGAAAGACAAAUUUAAAAUGAUGGUAUAUACAGAAAUUGAGAAAAAUAUUCUUAUAUACAAUAAUUGGAAAUUUGGAAAAAUAUAUAUACUUACACGUAGUUGUCAAUAAUCUAAAAUUUGCAUAAACCUGGACGUAACAGCAACUUUAAUCAAAACUGACCGAAAGCCGUUAAAAAACCUAAAAACCAUGCAGUAGCUACAUGCAAUAAUAGUUAUUCGUAUAUAGUACCUAUUUGCAUACCUACCACAAAUUUACAUACAUACACAGCAUAAUAGUUGAUGGCGAAGUAAAAAUUGUUAUUUGAAGAACAAAUAAAUAUGAAAAUUAGUAGU